UGUGCUUUAGCUCUGUACAUUAUUAUAACUAUGGAUAUGUUACUCCAAACCUCUGUCUUUUUGUGGAUUUUAGCUGGAUUUCUAUCUUUACCUGAAAAAUCUCAGGCCUGUCCUGGCAAUGAUUUCACUGCCCCGUGUGAUCUUAUCUUCGAAAAUGCUUGUUUUGACUUUGUUGAGGAAUCGAAAACCUGGUCCCAAGCCAGGAGCAGCUGUGAACAGCGAGGAGGGGAGCUCCUGAAGGUGAUGAACAGCUCGAUCAAAAAUUUGCUGAAGAACAUCACCAGAGAGAGAAACACCAGCAACUUCACGUGGUGGCUGGGAGACGGGGUCCAAGGAGAACCCAGCAUAAAAAAUGGUGACAUUUCAGAGUACAACUGCACAUACAUGAAGCUGAAUCCUCUUCAGUUCAUCAUAACAUCAGACUGCAAACAGAGACGAAGCUUCCUCUGCACCCACAGUACGUAACAGCAGCUUCCUAAUCACUGCUUUAACUCUGUUUAAAAUGUUUCCUGUUCACUUCAUAUAUAAUAUGCAGUUUGUUAAAAGUGUUGUUCUUGUUUUAAAGAUUUGCAGUCCUCAUCAAACACAAUGGUAAGAGAUACACUGUACAUGGUCAGUAAGAAGCCGUAUAAACAUCCAGACUGACUUUUCAUGUUAGUUUUGUUUGUGUUUUCUUUGCAGAACUCAGUAAUGUCCAGUCAUGCAAGCAGAUCUCGUAAGUCAGAUUGAAACAUUAUGUGUCUCAUCAGUUCAAGCAACAAUGAGCGUGAAGGACAACAGUCAUAAAACAAACACACACAUUUUGAUUUCAGGGCUAAGGAGGAGCGUAGAUGACAUGGGUGCAGCUGUAGCAGACAUUGACAAACUUCUGGAGGUGAGUGUGACAGUUUGGCCCAUGGAUCAGGAAGACAAUUGAAUAGUACAGUAAAAGGCCUUUUGUUAAUUCUACCUCAAAGUUUACAAGUAUUGUGCUUCUUAAACAGGAAGCAGAUAAAGAACUAUAUCGAAUGGAAACUACAGUAGGGGAGCCAACAGACAGCAACAGGGUGGGUACCAGUGGAAAGUCUUAUAUCACCUCUAUCACAACAUUCACCUGCUUUUUAUGCUGAGAGUUUGUCAUGGUGCAUUAAGUGCUGUCUUGUUUCUCCCUUUCACAGGACAAAUUCAUUAAAUAUUUGUUGGCAGGCACUGAAAAACUGACUCCAGAAUUUGCUUUGAAAAACAAUGAGACUAUUAGUCACAUCAUCAACUGUAGCAAUGGCAUCCUUCUACUCUCAGAGAAAAAAUGUGACAUUGACAGCAACCCAAACCCUACCGAUUUGUUUGAGAGGGUCUUUCAGAUCUUUCGGAAAAUAGCUGUGCUGGUGGGUAAAGCAACCUCACAGGGCAUUGUCAUCAGGCACAGAUCAGGCACCUUCUAUCAGAACACGUUGGUAUUUUUUUCAGAAUAUCGCUGAUUUAUAUCCUACAAUCACUGUAACUUUUUUCUCUCUUAAGCUAUUACAAACUGCUAUAACAAACUGUUUUAUUUCCCUCACCUCAGGUACACACCUUCUGACCUUGGCAAUGCAGUGCUGGGCUCAGAGAAAGACGGAGGGUUUGUCAUACUCCCCUCAUUUUCAGCACUUCAGAGUCAGGUUGGAGACAGUCCAGUCUUUGCUCAGGUCUGUGUGUGUGUGUUAUCAUCAUACAUAUGUGCAUUUGUAUCUAUGUUGUCAUCCACUGCCUUUUCAACAGAGCUUUUCUCCUCCUCAG